UGAGGAACAUGACCUUUGGCGGGGGAUAGCCGGCCCAACGGCCGGGUAAUACCGCGUACGACCACUUUGGGACAUCCCUAGGUGGUGAAGGCAGCAAUGCGCCGAUGGAGUGCCUCGCGGCCUAUCAGCUAGUUGGUGAGGUAACGGCUCACCAAGGCGACGACGGGUAGCUGGUCUGAGAGGAUGGCCAGCCACAUUGGGACUGAGAUACGGUCCAGACUCCUACGGGAGCAG
rnacentral:rRNA from 1 species